AGGGUUAGUUGGUAUAGUGGUGAGGUUUUAAUGGGUGUAGGGUUAGUUGGUAUAGUGGUAAGGUUUUAAUGGGUAUAGGGUUAGUUGGUAUAGUGGUGAGGUUUUAA